ensembl:lncRNA
UUUUGUGGUAGUUUUGCAUCUAGUUUUGGUCUUCUUACAUGUUGUUUUGUUUCAUUUUGGUGUUUUUACAUCUUUUUGUGGGUGUUUUCCAUCCAAUUUUGUAUGGAAAUUUAAUGUCUUUUGGAGGUUUAUUGCUUAAUAAUUUGGCUGUUUUACAUCCUUUAUGUCACAUUUUGGUAGUUUUACAUGUUUGUGGUAGUUAUGCAUCACAUUGUGGUCGUUUUAUGUCACCUGGGUCACAUUUUGAUCAUUUUUACAGAAGAGAAUCAUCUGUAAAACAUUUCUCAGGAGAUCGGUGGCAGUAAGAUGAGUGAAUGUCAAGAGACAAACAGGAGAGAGAACGAACACUAAGUAUUCCUGAUUUAAAGCAGAGUUUUGGGUGAAACCGAUGGUGUAAAAUGCUGGAAAAAGGCUUUGUGUGAUUUUCAAUGAGGCAAAUCCGAAGACGCCUCUGAUUCCAAGCAGCUGCUGAAAGACGCUGAUCAGCAGAAGAAGCUCAAAGUUCAGAUGCAUAAAGUCAGACGAGUCUCUUGAGCUGCUUCAGUCUCGACCAGCAGGAAUGUGGUCAGAAGUCGGAGUCGUCUGUGGCCGAGUUAUCGGCGGCGAGGAUUCCUGUUGGCUCUGGCGGCGGCUCGUGUCCAUCCUGCUGCUGCUGCUGCUGCUGCUCCCUCUUCUUCUUCUUGUUGUGGUUCUUGACAUGCACGCUCAACCCCCUCUCAGUCAUUUCGUAGAUCUGACACUUGGCGCAGUAGUAUGGCGACACCCCGACGUGCCGGAACUGGUCUGCGAGGUACGAUGCCAGCGUCUUGAAGCCCUUGCUGCAGACGUGGCAGCGCGGGACGACGCCCGGGUGCUCCUUCUCCAGGUGCUUCCUCAGACCCCACCUGGAGCCACUGAACGCCUCCAGACCGCCGGCCGGGCACACGUGGCAAGUGAAGACGGCGUCCUGGUUGGCGUGGCGACGGGUGUGGGCGUCCAGCUCCACCUGCGUGCGGACCGACUGCUGGCAGGACGUGCAGAAGAACGUCUUCUUGCCCUCCAUGUGGUGCGUCUGCUUCAGGUGCACGGCGAGGCCCGACGCCCUCUUGAAGGUCUUGCCGGGCGGCGGACACAUGGUGCACACCAGCUGCCUCUGCCCCGAGUUCAUGACAUCGCUGUAGUCCUCACCCAGCUCCAGGACGCUCUUGUUGCUUACCAGCUCCUCCCUCCUCGCCUCCUCCAGCUUCCUCUUCUGCUCUAGCCUCGGCCUCAUCAGUCUGGACGGUGGCGGAUCUGCGCUCCUCUCUCGGACCACCGGCCGCUUCACAACCGGCUUCUUGGCGGGAAGCGAGCGGUCGACGGACACGGUGAACUGGUAGCUCUCUCCCUCCUCUUCGGGGUUGGAGUACUCGAUGACGUAGACGCCCUCCUCCUCCUCCUCUACCACCUCCUCCUCGGCGGGCAGCGAAUACUCCAUCUCGUAGUACUCGGUCACGUUGCUCCUCGCCUUCCCGCCCAUGUGCGACUGCUCCCCUGCGAUGUGCGUGUCGUCGAUCCUCACCACGGUGAUCUGGUCCAUGCUGCCGGCAGCCUCCCAGUUUCCGUUUCCGGCCAUGACCGAGGACGACGACGCUUUUCCUGCAGCUCCACCUCGAAGAUGUUCAGAAGAUGUCUGGAACAAGAAAAUAAAUAUAAAUGCAUGUUUUAUUACAGAAAAAAACACACAAAAAUACCCUUUAACCCUUUUGCUGUAUUCAUUGAUUGGCACCAAAAAAUAUUUUUAAAAAAAUCUAAUAAAAAAAAUCCAAAAAUUCAGCAAAAAAAUCCCCCAAAUUUCUGAAAAUUUGCAAAACCUUCAGGAAGAAAAUUCCAAUAAUUCCUUGAAAGUUUCCCUUAAAAGUUUCAUUUGAAAAAAAUCCCUCCAAUUUGGCAAGAAAAUUCUUGUAAAUAUUUUCAAAAAAUGAGUAAAAAUCUUCCAAAAAAAUCCUAAAAAUAUCUAAAGUGAUUCCAUAUAUAUCAG